AUUGAACGCUGGCGGCAGGCCUAACACAUGCAAGUCGAACGAGUGGCGGACGGGUGAGUAAUGUCUGGGAAUCUGCCUGAUGGAGGGGGAUAACUACUGGAAACGGUAGCUAAUACAGCAUACCAUCAGAUGUACCCAGAUGGGCUUAGCGAGUAGGUGGGGUAAUGGCUCACCUGGGCGACGAUCCCUAGCUGGUAUGCGAGGAUGACCAGCCACCCGGGAACUGAGACACGGUCCAGACGCCUACGGGAGGCAGCAGUGGGGAAUAUUGCACAAUGGGCGCAAGCCUGAUGCAGCCAUGCCGCGUGUAUGAAGAAGGCCUUAGGGUCGUAAAGCACUUUCAGCGAGGAGGCGUUACUCGCAGAAGAAGCACCGGCUAACUCCGUGCCAGCAGCCGCGGUAAUUC
rnacentral:rRNA from 1 species